rnacentral:lncRNA from 1 species
CCACUGGUCACUCUUGGCCAUCCCUGACCACCCCAAAGUGACCACUGGUCACUCUUGGCCUCCCCUGACCACCCAAAAAUGACCCCAGACCACCCUGAAGUGACCACUGGUCACUCCUGGUCACCCCAAAGUGACCACUGGUCACUCCUGGUCACCCCAGGCCACCCUUGACCACCCCAAAGUGACCCCAGGCCACCCUAAAGUGACCACUGGUCACUCCUGG